rnacentral:rRNA from 1 species
AACGAACGCUGGCGGCAUGCCUAACACAUGCAAGUCGAACGAGACCUUCGGGUCUAGUGGCGCACGGGUGCGUAACGCGUGGGAACCUGCCCUUAGGUUCGGAAUAACUCCCCGAAAGGGGUGCUAAUACCGGAUAAUGUCUUCGGACCAAAGAUUUAUCGCCUUUGGAUGGGCCCGCGUUGGAUUAGCUAGUUGGUAGGGUAAAAGCCUACCAAGGCGACGAUCCAUAGCUGGUCUGAGAGGAUGAUCAGCCACACUGGGACUGAGACACGGCCCAGACUCCGACGGGAGGCAGCAGUGGGGAAUAUUGGACAAUGGGCGAAAGCCUGAUACAGCAAUGCCGCGUGAGUGAUGAAGGCCUUAGGGUUGUAAAGCUCUUUUACCCGGGAUGAUAAUGACAGUACCGGGAGAAUAAGCUCCGGCUAACUCCGUG